GUGCUCACUUUGACAGCACAUACACUAAAAGUGGAAUGAUACAGAGCAGAUUAGCAUGGUCCCUAUGCAAGGAUGACAUGCAAAUUUGUGAAGUGGUCCAUAUUUUU